rnacentral:lncRNA from 1 species
UUUGUCUUUUCAGGGUCGCACCUGCAGCAUAUGGAGGUUCCCAGACUAGGGGUCUAAUUGGAGCUACAGCUGCUGGCCUACACCACAGCCACAGCCAUGCAAGAUCUUAGCCAUGUCUGCAAACUACACCACAGCUCAUGGCAACACCAGAUCCUUAACCCACUGAGUGAGGCCAGGGACCAAACCUUCAACCUCAUGGUUCCUCGUCAGAUUCGUUUCCACUGUGCCACAAUAGGAACUCUUGGGAAUUUUGCUCUUCUUAUUCUUAACUAUGAGUAUUUUCUGACUUUUCUCACCAUGACCAUAUGUUGCUCUUGUAGUCAGAAAAAAAAAAAGAAACCUAGAAAUAUUUUAUCCUUGAACAUCUCUCUUAGGGAAGAGAACUUGCUACUUUGUACAACACUAAAUAGGAAAGUGAAACAGGUUGGAUAAAUAAAUUAGGGUCAAGACCCAGGUACCUUCCAAAAUGGGGGACAUGUCAGAGAAAUGGAAAAUGAAAAGUUAAUGAGGUAACAAUCAAUGGCUUCUCUUCCAUCCCAUCUCUAAAGCUCCUGAGCCGCCACCCCUCCUGGCUGUCCUCACCCUCUACCACCCCUGCAUUGUGGCAUCCACCCCUCUGUACGUGGUCCUGGGCUGAUUUCAGCUAUUGCUCUGCAACCUGAACUUUCCUCCAAGCUCUCUCCCAGCCUAUUCCAUUAGACUUCCAAUCUCCCUCUCUCAACCAGCUCCUUUCCCAGGAUUCCGUCUCUACUCAGUGGCAUCACCAGCACCCAAGCAGACAUCUCAUGGUUACAGUGAACUCCUCCCUCUCUGUGAUUCUUCAAGCAGUUCAGGACAUGUGAUGUUGUGCCCGCUACCUAAAUGCCUCUGGUAUCUGCUCUCUUCUCCUAACCUCCUUCCAGUCUUAGUCCAAUCCCCCUUCAUCCCUAACCUACAUCUGACACCUUCCCUCCAGUUCCAAAGAGAAGUUCACUAUUUCUUCCUCAUGCAAAGCCAUCUCGUACCCACUUGCCUGCAACAUAAAGUCCAAACUGCUUUCUGCUAUGCACAAGGCCCUUUAAAACCUCGUUCCAACUCAUCUUUCCAGUCUUAACACUCCUGGACCACCACCAACUACCUCACGCCCCACCACACACACACACACACACACACACACACACACACACACACCCCACCACAUUUCCACCAAGUCCCAAACCUAACAUGCAUUCAAUGCCCACAUCACUGCAUCCCAUUUCUACUGCCUACAAACCCUUUUUUACUUUUCUCUUUCCUCUCCUGUCAUCCAUUCUUUAGCAUCUUUCUCAGACAGUUUCCUCUCUGAUAAUUAAGCCCCAGCUCCACUCCUGAGCAGUCAUUUGCCCUCCUCCCCCCAUGUGCUUUUACAGCAUCACACACUGUCCUCUUUUAUGUUAGCUUCAUUCCCAUGCUGCCCCUGUCCCCAAAUGAGACUGUGAACAGGGUCCGUGCUCAAGUCUUUUGUUACUGCUAGGAAAGCUAAUUAGUCACUUCUCCAGUCUCCUGCAGCCAGGGAUGGUCGUGUGACACAGCCUGGCCAAAGAGACAUCGGUGCAAAAUUGCUGAGGAAGCUCUGCAUAAUUUUUCUGUUUUCUUGGUAACAGACAAAAACACAGCUGACACCUCCCUCUUGCUCUCACCUUGCACAUGGAUGUGACAUCUGGGGCUGCAGAAGGAUUCUUGCCAAUGGGAGGGCAAAGCCCAAAGAAUCAGAGCGAUGACAGCCUGACAUCUUAGAGGCCCUGGACAAUAGACUUACAAGGUGAGAAAAGUCAACUCUGGUUUUAUAACUAAUUUUCACAUUGUCUGUUGCUUGCUGCAUUCCUAAGUGCUAUUUUAUGAGCAAAUUAAUGUAGCUGUAACUAUUGGGGAUCUAUCAGUCUCCUUGUUAUCUAAAGUGGAGUCCAGCUGCUCAUAGCUCUAAAGCCAAUAAAGAGGCAAGGCUGAUGGAAAGGAAAGUUUGCUUUAUUUCAGAGGCCAGCAAGUGGGAAGGAUAGUGGACUCCUGUCCAAAGGCCAACUCUCUCCACUGACAGUUAGUGGGCAUGAGCUUUUAUAGGUGGAAGGAGGGGACUACAUGCAGAAACAGCACAGUCCACUUUGACAGACACCUUGAAAUUGGUCGUGGUGGUCUGAUCAGCCUUAUCUUGACUGUUUUAAGUACACUUAGUCUUCAGUUCCAGAGUCAGUUUAUUCCCAUUUCUUUGAGGCCAUUUCUCAAAAUGAUGGCAGCUUAUGUCUUGGCUACAAUCUGGUCAUCUGUAGUUAACGUCUUCCACUUGGUGGAGGUUUCAAUAUCUACAAGACAGUUUGCAGGAUAAGGCUCAGAAUAUGACCUACAGCUCUUGAGGAGGAACUAAAGGUCCUUGACUUUGCUUAAUGACUGAACUAUUAUUUUUUUGUCCUUUUUUAUUGUUUUCCUUUGCUUCUGUAUUUUCUCACUUCUCUGACUAAACUUAUUCUUUGCCUAAAGUUUUCCCACAGAUAAAAGGCAGGUGGAGGACAAGAAGGCGGAAGGACCAUAAGGUCUACUCCAUUUCAACCCCCCCACCUUUUCUUUGAUGUUCCUUAGUCUUGAGGAUGGACAGGGACAAAAUAAGAAAGGAAAUAAAGCUUUGGAUAGAGAGUUUAACCUAAACUUGGCAGAGGAACCCAGUUUUAGUUUACAUUUUUUGUUCCAAUUUUCCCCAUUUCUUUGAGGGAAUGAAGUGAUGACCACUCUGGCUCUUCCUGCUGAAACAGGGCACAGUCCUGCCUAAUUUGGGAAAUGGAUACAGAGUUAGAAAUAACCUCAAGUUCCAAGCUUAGCAUCAAUAUUUUCCAUUACGAAAACAUUAACUCUCUCUUUGAUUGCUUUGUUAAUACACCUAGACAAACAUUUGAAAAUCACUAGACAUAUUACAAUGAGGAUAAUAAUCAAAAUCUAUCUUUGUACUAUUUUCUAAAAGUAUUUUUUCUUAAUGGUUAAAGCAGAUGUAAAAUGUAUGUUCACUAGGCCAAAAAUAGGCUGUUUUGGUUAGGCUAAAGUUCAAAUUUAAUCAUGUAUAAACCAGAAUGACUUCACUAUGCUUCAAUGCAUGACAUUUUCCUUCAUCAUUUUCCCCUUUUAAUUGCAUAUCUUUCCACAGAAGUCAAUAAUAAUCAAUAUAUUUUUCCAUCAUUGCCAGAAUGGCUCAGUGUCCCUUAGUGAUAGGCCUACUUUUUGUUUGUACAUUUGCCUAGACAUCCACAUUGGGGGAAAACUAAUCAUACAUAAUAAUAAAGUACAGAGAGGUAUGUUGAUGGGAGAACAUUUUACAGGCCAUACAUUUUACCACUUAUACCAGUUGUCACAAGAAUCAUAUAAAUGCUUUCAGCAAUAAAUUUAGAUCCAGCAAUGAUACACAUCGUAAGUAAUUAUACUCUUUAAUAACUUCAUUAGUAAUUUUUUUCAUCCUGAAAAUCAGGGUCAAAAGUAUGAUUAGAAGUAAAACAAUAGUAUCUUAUUAUAAUUCUUUAAAUUUCUUAUCAAUAUUUUUCUCUUAGAUGCCUCAGGGACCCUCAGAAAAGCUUAAAGUUAGCUAGAGAAAGAAACUUACAAUCUGUUAUCAAAAGCAGCUAAUAUUCCAGGAAAACUUUAUUCUCUGAACAUGGAGAAGGAAAAUCAAAUUCCAGUCUUGAACCAGCUUAAUGCUAAGAAUAAAAUUAAUUUACCUAAAAAAUUCAAUCUAAUCUUAAUCAAUCUUAAUAACAUAUAAAAUUCUAUUUUCAAAGUCUCCCCCAACCUCUUUUUUACAAACUUUUUAUCACCUUCUGUAUCCAUCUUAAUUUAUCCCUUAUUUUUUCCCGACCUAGAAAUAACCAAGUGUAGGACAAAACCAUUAUCAUUUUUCUCCCAACAGAAAUAUCUUCAUUCUUUAUAUGUUCUCUCAUCAACAACACAUCUUAUUUGUUUUACAUAUCAAAAUAUUUUCCUUAUCAUUUUUAUGUAUUACAAUUUUUAACACUUAAAAGCCUUAGUAAAACCACGAAACAACUAAUUGGACUGUUAUACCAGCAUUUUCUUAUUGAAAACUUAAGAACAUAUUCCAUAACCUCUAAAAACAUAUUUUUCUCGUGGCACAAUUUCUCUUUAAUGUGGUACAAGAUGUGCACUUAUUCAUUACGUAAAACAUCAUUACCACCAUCUGGCCCCCUCCCACUCAAAUGGCCCUGCAAGCCCCAAAUGCCACCCAGCUCUCUCCUGCCUGGGCUGACUCGUGUGUUUCAGCCACUUUGGGAGCAGGCACUGGUGGGUUGCCCUCAUAUAGUAGUGGGGCUGAAACUGUAGCUGAACCACGUGGGGCCAUGUGACCAAGGAAGAAGAACUGAAAACUCUCCUCGUGGCUGCACAAACCAUGGAUUUACACCUUCACUCCCAGCUUUGUAAACUGAGUGUGUGUGGAACAUCCAAAUGGACAACAGUUACUCCCACAGCUAAGAUGGGUCUUGCUUUAGCAGCUGUGGGCUUUGUGGGUGCAUACACAUAGGGGUUUGGCCAGGCCAGAGUCUCAGCUGCCUCCUUAGAUCCCACAGCAGGUCCAGGUGCAUGACUACUACCGUCCUGGGACCUUACCUCACUGGAUCUGACACUGUGAUGACAAAUCUUUCACUGAAAAAGACACAUGCACCCCUAUGUUCAUUGCAGCACUAUUCACAAUAGCCAAGACAUGGAAACAACCUAAAUGGCCAUUGACAGACAACUGGAUUAAGAAGAUAUGGUAUAUAUACACAAUGGAAUAAUACUCAGCUAUAAAAAGAACAAAAUAAUGCCAUUUGAAGUAACUUGGAUGGAACUAGAGACUCUCAUACUAAGUAAGUCAGAAAGAGAAAUACAAAUAUCAUAUGAUAUCACUUCUAUCUGGAAUCCAAUAUAUGCCACAAAUGAACCUAUUUAUAGAAAAAAAAAAAAAAACUCAUGGACUUGGAGAACAGACUUGUGGUUGCCUAAGGGGAGGGAGUGGGGUAUACUGGGAGUUUGGGGUUAGGAGAUGCAAACUACGGUAUUUGGAAUAGAUAAGAAACAAGAUCCCGCUGUAUAGCACAGGGAACUAUGUCAAGCCACUCGUGAUGGAACAUGAUGGAGGAUAAUUCGAGAAAAAGAAUGUAUGUACAUAUAUAUAACAGAAUGAAGAAAAAAGAAUGAAAACAAGUGAGGACAGUCUCAAAGACUUCUAGUACAACAUUAAAUGUACUAACAUUUGCAUCAUAUGGGUACCAGAGGGGAAAGAUAGAGAGAAGGUGCCUGAUAAAAUAUUUGAAGAGAUUAUAGCCAAAAAUUUCCUAAGAUGAGAAAGGAAACAUUCAUUCAAGUCUGAGUAAUGAAGAGAGUCCCAUACAGGAUGAACCCGGGGAGGAAUAUGCCAAGACACAUUAUGAAUCAAACUGACAAAAAUUAAAAACAGAAAAAAUAUAUUAAAAUUUCCAAAGUAAAAGCAACAAAUAACAUAUCAGGGAAGCCCCGUAAGGUUAUCAGCUUAUUUUAAGCAGAAACUUUACAGACCAGGAGGGAGUGGCAUGAUAUAUUUAAAGUGAUGAAAAGGAAAAACCUACAAUCAAGCAUACCCUACCAAGAAAGGCUCUCAUUCAGAUUUGAUGGAGCAAUCAAAAGCCUGACAGAAAAGAAAAAAGCUAAGAGAAUUCAGCACCACCAAAUCAGCUUUACAACAAAUUCUAAAGGUACUUCUUUAAGAAAGAAAAAAGGCCACGCCUAGAAACAAGAAAAUCACAAAUGGAAGAGCUCACCAGUAAAGACAAACAACAAGUAAAGGUAUGAAAUCAUCCACAUUCUCAUAUAAUAUAAAAACUAGCAACCAUAAGAAGAGGAGAGUAUAAACACAGGAUAUUGAAAAUGCAUUUGAAAUUAAAAGACCUGUAACUAAAAUAAUCUUGUGUAAAUACUGGGAACUCCAAACCAAAAAUCUACAAUAAAUAUAUAAGCAAAAAAGAAAAAGCAAUCCAAACACAAUGCUAAAGAUAGG